GGAGAGGUGCCCGAGUGGCUGAAGGGGCACGCCUGGAGAGCGUGUGUACGGGUCACCGUACCGCGGGUUCGAAUCCCGCCCUCUCCGCCA
rnacentral:tRNA from 3 species